GAGCGCAAACCUCGCCUUUAGUUGACAGCAUGUUUGGGUGGGCACUCUAAAGGAACUGCCGGUGACAAGCCGGUAGGAAGGUGGGGAUGACGUCAAGUCCUCAUGGCCCUUAUGUCCUGGGCUACACACGUGCUACAAUGGCGGUGACAGUGGGACGCCAGGCAGCGAUGCCGAGCUGAUCUCUAAAGCCGUCUCAGUUCGGAUUGCACUCUGCAACUCGGGUGCAUGAAGGUGGAAUCG
rnacentral:rRNA from 1 species